GAAAAUCCGUCGAUUUUUAAAAUCAUGAGGGUUCAGGUCCCUCUWUCCCCAA
rnacentral:tRNA from 1 species